AACCAGCACCUCAAGUGGUCAGGAUGAUUAUUGGGCCUAAAGCAUCCGUAGCCGGCUCUGUAAGUUUUCGGUUAAAUCUGUACGCUUAACGUACAGGCUGCCGGGAAUACUGCAGAGCUAGGUAGUGGGAGAGGUAGACGGUACUCGGUAGGAAGGGGUAAAAUCCUUUGAUCUAUUGAUGACCACCUGUGGCGAAGGCGGUCUACCAGAACACGUACGACGGUGAGGGAUGAAAGCUGGGGGAGCAAACCGGAUUAGAUACCCGGGUAGUCCCAGCUGUAAACUAUGCAAACUCAGUGAUGCAUUGGCUUGUGGCCAAUGCAGUGCUGCAGGGAAGCCGUUAAGUUUGCCGCCUGGGAAGUACGUACGCAAGUAUGAAACUUAAAGGAAUUGGCGGGGGAGCACCACAAGGGGUGAAGCCUGCGGUUCAAUUGGAGUCAACGCCAGAAAUCUUACCCGGAGAGACAGCAGAAUGAAGGUCAAGCUGAAGACUUUACCAGACAAGCUGAGAGGUGGUGCAUGGCCGUCGCCAGCUCGUGCCGUGAGAUGUCCUGUUAAGUCAGGUAACGAGCGAGAUCCCUGCCUCUAGUUGCCACCAUUACUCUCAGGAGUAGUGGGGCGAAUUAGCGGGACCGCCGCAGUUAAUGCGGAGGAAGGAAGGGGCCACGGCAGGUCAGUAUGCCCCGAAACUCUGGGGCCACACGCGGGCUGCAAUGGUAACGACAAUGGGUUUCGAAUUCGAAAGGAUGAGGUAAUCCUCAAACGUUACCACAGUUAUGACUGAGGGCUGCAACUCGCCCCCACGAAUAUGGAAUCCCUAGUAACUGCGUGUCACUAUCGCGCGGUGAAUACGUCCCUGCUCCU
rnacentral:rRNA from 1 species